rnacentral:rRNA from 1 species
UGGGGAAUUUUGCACAAUGGGGGAAACCCUGAUGCAGCGACGCCGCGUGAUUUAGAAGGCCUUCGGGUUGUAAAAAUCUUUUGUAUGGGAAGAAAAUGACAGUACCAUACGAAUAAGGACCGGCUAAUUACGUCCCAGCAGCCGCGGUAAUACGUAAGGUCCGAGCGUUGUCCGGAAUCAUUGGGAGUAAAGGGUACGUAGGAGGAUAACCAAGUUAGAAGUGAAAACCUAUAGCUCAACUAUAGUAAGCUUUUAAAACUGCUCAUCUUGAGGUAUGGAAGGGAAAGUGGAAUUCCUAGUGUAGCGAUGAAAUGCGCAGAUAUUAGGAGGAAUACCGGUGGCGAAGGCGACUUUCUGGCCAUAUACUGACGCUGAGGUACGAAAGCGUGGGUAGCAAACAGG